CCUACGGGAGGCUGCAGUGAGGAAUAUUGGUCAAUGGGCGCAAGCCUGAACCAGCCAAGUCGCGUGAGGGAUGACGGUCCUAUGGAUUGUAAACCUCUUUUGUCGGGGAGCAAGGCCCGCCACGUGUGGCGGGAAGGAGAGUACCCGAAGAAAAAGCAUCGGCUAACUCCGUGCCAGCAGCCGCGGUAAUACGGAGGAUGCGAGCGUUAUCCGGAUUUAUGGGGGUAAAAGGGUGCGUAGGCGGAAGGUUAAGUCAGUGGUAAAAGGGCGGUGCUCAACACCGGCCUGCCGUUGAAACUGGUCAUCUUGAGUGAGCGAGAAGUAAGCGGAAUGCGUGGUGUAGCGGUGAAAUGCGUAGAUAUCACGCAGAACUCCGAUGGCGAAGGCAGCAUACCGGCGCGCAACUGACGCUGAGGCACGAAAGCGUGGGGAUCGAACAGGAUUAGAUACCCGAGUAGUC
rnacentral:rRNA from 1 species